AUGUCCCUGCUCAGGCCUUUAGGCAGAGAAUGCAAAUUCAACCUGCUUCUGCCUUUCUGUUUCAUUCAGGCCUUCGCCAGAUUGAAGGGUGCCCGGCCAUCUGCUUUACUCCAUCCACUGGUUUCAAUGCGAAUCUCAUCCAGAAACACCUCACAGACACACCCAGAGAGAAUGCUUAGCCAGCUAUCCGGGCAUUCUGCGGCCCAGCCGAAUAGACACAUAACAUUAACUGCUACGUCUCAUUUUACAGAUGAGGAAACUGAGGCUCAAGAAAGGAUCUGUCAUGGAAUUUUGAAUUAUCUAAAGACUAGAUUGCUCUUCAAGCAUUCUGCCUGCCUGCCCUGAGGUUCUUCAACUUGAUUUAUGAAGAGGAGCCUUGCACACACCUUCACACUCAUCACACACAAUUUGUCUGCUCGACAUUCUGACCCAAGACGGCCAAUUUGAUGGAGCCAUUGAGUUCAUUAAAGUCAUUUCUCUGGCUGGGCGGGUAUGAGUGGAAACAGCUUUUCUGUAGGUAGUUUGGUGAUAGGUGACAAGCACCUUUACAACACCUGUAGCCUUCAGCACAUGCAUGCCAUUUCUAGAAAUCUAUCAUUAAAAUUUGUCCCUGAUGCGCUGAUGAGUGAGGAAACUCAGGUUAUAAUGCAGUGCGUUCAGCGGGACACUAACUUGGGUUAAGCAUAGUCGAACUGAAAAAAGCCUGGGAGGGAAUUGGCUAAAACGCUAACAAUGGUUAUCUCUCUACAGCAGCGGCAGAAACAGAUCCCCACUUUGUGUCUCCCAUGUUUUCUGGAUAUGCUUUUCUGUACAUUCUGAAUUUUUUAUAAUAAUCAUGUGUGUUUCUAUGAAAGGGUUGUCAUUUAGCCAUUUCUACUUCAAUAAUUGCACUCAUCACAGCCUCAAGUCCUUUUAUGGUCUCACGUGGUAUCAGUAAGCAGCUGGGGGACAGUCCCUUCCUUGGGGAGGGGCUUUUUCCCAGAAAUUUCUCCUCAGGGGCUGCCAAUUCUGUGGGAGGCUAUGCAGGGACCCUGAGCUUUGUCAGGUUAAACCGAAAAGGCCUUCCCUCCCCUGUGUGUUGAAGAAUAUCCGCAGGACCUUCGUACCUUAUUUGGGGCUAAAUCUGAAAAUCCCCAAUCUCCUUUGCCAGCGUCUAAGGCCCUAACCAAGUGCUAAGGGAUGUUUUGUGAAAGCACGUUAGCAACACAACCUCCCACUCAGGGGCCUCCAGCACCUGAAAUCCACUCAUCUCAAGAAGAAAGGAAGAGACACCUGAGAGAGAAGAGACAGCUGCUCACCUGCGUUACUGGGAUGGUGCAUGCCCUGAAAAUCCCCAUGUUUAUUUAGCAAAAAUAAAAUGGCCAAGUGUGUUCA
rnacentral:lncRNA from 13 species